UACGUAGGGUGCAAGCGUUAAUCGGAAUUACUGGGCGUAAAGCGUGCGCAGGCGGUGAUGUAAGACAGAUGUGAAAUCCCCGGGCUCAACCCAGGAACUGCGUCCGAUACUGGUUGGCUUGAAUCCGGGAGAGGGACGUGGAAUUCCAGGUGUAGCGGUGAAAUGCGUAGAUAUCUGGAGGAACACCGGUGGCGAAGGCGGGUCUCUGGGCCGUAACUGACGCUGAGGAGCGAAAGCGUGGGGAGCGAACAGG
rnacentral:rRNA from 1 species